rnacentral:rRNA from 1 species
UCGGGAAUUUUGGGCAAUGGGCGAAAGCCUGACCCAGCAACGCCGCGUGAAGGAUGAAGUAUUUCGGUAUGUAAACUUCGAAAGAAUAGGAAGAAUAAAUGACGGUACUAUUUAUAAGCUCCGGCUAACUACGUGCCAGCAGCCGCGGUAAUACGUAGGGAGCAAGCGUUGUUCGGAUUUACUGGGCGUAAAGGGCGCGUAGGCGGCGCGGUAAGUCACUUGUGAAAUCUCUGAGCUUAACUCAGAACGGCCAAGUGAUACUGCAGUGCUAGAGUGCAGAAAGGGCAAGCGGAAUUCUUGGUGUAGCGGUGAAAUGCGUAGAUAUCAAGAGGAACACCUGAGGCGAAGGCGGGUUGCUAGGCUGACACUGACGCUGAGGCGCGAAAGCCAGGGGAGCAAACG